AUUCUGGGUUUCGACAAAAACUAAAAUGUUCUUGGGAAAACGGAUGUUUCUUUCAAUAAAUAAAUAAAUAAAUAAACCCCCCAGUUUUCCAGCCAAAACAGUUUUAACAGAACAUUUUCAAACAGCCUUAAUACGCAUUGUAAAUAUUUACAUCUGCUGAGAAAUCAUGAAGUACUUUUUCCUUUUCAAAAGACUUCUGAAAAGUUCACGUGCACUUUUUAAAAGGCCUCCAAAGCAAUGAAUCACUUGACAUCUCUCUCUUUUGUAGGAAAGAGGCGAUUUCCACUGAGGUACCUUAUGCUUAAGUAAACUAAAAAAAGGUGCUGCCAACUAUCUUUGUGGCCACCUGGCAUUGCCACACUGAAAAAAAAGCAAUAAUGGAACCAGAACCUGGCCACUAUAUUCUUUGGUAAAUGUAUUAUUGUACAAAUACAGUGUGCUGCUUUUAAGUGCAUAACUAGGGGACUGAAAAAAGGCUGUGCACUUAUUGGGAACAUGCAGGUACCAAAUUCAAUGUAAACUAUGCUCAUUAAGUACAGGAACAGCCUGCACUAAGCUUUUCAGAACUCAUUAAGGCUCCUUACCUUGUGUCCUGGAGUGUCUUAUACCUCUAAUAGCAGCCUUAAAAUUUAUUUCUACUUAAUUUCACAAAUUAUACCAUUAAACAGAGCACAGCGACCUUACAAAUUAAGUAGUGGGGCCAAAGAGUUGUUAUGCACGUAAGCCAUGUCUGUAUUUAAUACAUAUGCAAAUAGAGUUUGUUACAAUGUAAGCAGUAAACAAAGAAUUGGGACAAGCAUUGUGUUAUGCCAUUAAGUGAAUUGUGCUCUUAUCCAGUGAACGUGCAAGUGCAGUAUAUCAUUAGACAGAGUCAGACUUUUAAUCGCUUUGGAGCCAUUUAGAACAUUUAGUAGUAGAAGGAAAGAGGCAAACAUUUCCGAACAUUUUUUGGCUCAACUAACUCCAGCAUUUGUAGAUACAGCACUUAGACUUUUACUAAUGUAAACAUGUCAGGUCAUUUAAACUGCAAAUUAUUUUUCACUGUUUGUAGUUUUGAAAAACUCUGACAGAAGGGUCUUCAUCACAAAAGCUGGUCUUGCUGUUGAAUCCAUGUACGCCAUGUAACAUAUUUUGAAAGGCUUUGCCUAACCUGACAGAAGGGGAAACAAAACUGGCAUUUACUUCUUUAAUUUCUCACACAGUUCCAUCAGAAAAGUCAUCUGGUGCUGAUGUUUUCCCUGAUGCUAAUCUCCUAAUAGUUUGUUCUCCCCCACUCUCUUACCAGGGUGAUGGUUUGAUCCAGUCUUUCUAUGGAUUUGUGCAAUAAACUAGAAAUGUUUCUAAUCUGCAAAAGAAAUGCCUACGCUGCUUCAGUGCCUUUUACUUUCAGAGGCUGUGUACACUCCCCACUCCAUGUAGGCUGAAGCUGAAGGCACUAGGAUCUGAUCACAGUCUUCAGAGACCCUCUUAAAUGUGAAGCUGGCCUUUACAGGAGGGGAAAGGUAAGUGUAGCCCUUAUGUUUUGGAUAUGGUGCCUUUUUGUUACACUGUCAGCAAUGCUGAGUGCUGUAUAUUUUUUAUUUUCAGCUGACUUACUGUGUCCAUUGAGACUGCUGGACACGGGUCCAUCAAUUUAAAAACAAAAAUUGUAGUAGCAAAAAUAGGCAAAUAUCCAUUACUAAAAGAACACCUCUAACAUCACAGUUAAAACUCUGAGUACCUGCCAUAAGCAAUGCCAGCCCAGCACUUAGAGUUUUUAUAGUCAAUGGUUCGAUAUAAAGUUCCAAAGUUAAAGCCCUGGAAUGCCAACUUCCAGUCUUUUAUAUUCAAAUCUGAGGUCUGUUACCAAAUACAUUCCAGCAAACCUGAGCUAGUGGGAUAGUUCGUAAAGAGAGAAGCCACAAGAAAUCCAAUUUCAAGUGUUCAAAAAUCAUGAGUGGGUGCAUCUACAUGAGAUGCUAACUGGGCAGUAGCUUACUAACACUGCACAGUAGUGUACUGGGCAAAAACCAAACUAAUCCACUACUGUGCAGUAGUAGUAGGCUACCGCACUGGUGCUACUGCGUAGUAGCAUAAGUUACUGAGCCUCGAUUUAGUGCUUGGUUAACCAAGUACUGAACUUAAUGUGCAGUAACUACAACGCAUUAAUGAACAUGUAGAUGUGCCCAGUCAGACACGGUUCCCACCAACGCUCAAGAGAUUUAUCUUAAAAUGGUGACAUUUUAAAAUAUACUGAAUUUAGGGUUAUUUCAUGACCAUAAGCCUUUAGAGCUCAUGUUCUCAAGCUUUUUUCUGCAACUACAGAGGCUUAGACACUUGCUUGUGUUUAAACAAAAGGUACGAUCUGUUAACAAAGGAGCUAUAAUUUGAAGAAAAAAACAAAAUAUCACAUAACUUAAUAAAGUAGCGCAGUUGGGAACUCUGAAUUCUGUCUUCAGCAGCUUGUCUACACAAUUUUUUGUACUGAUUUAACUAAAUAAGUACUCCCUUCUAUUGUGGACCCAUUUUUUACCAGUAAAAAGGUGUUUAUAUGGGCAUACUUGCUUCAGUAAAAUUUCAAAGCAGUGUGCAAGGAUAUAACUGUUAACUACCCUUGGUAUUAAUAUAGCCUUACCUAAUCUGUUCUGUAUUGCAAACUAACCUGAAUGAAAAUUACUUUUUAAAUGUGUCAGCAGGCAGUCUCUGUCACUAGCAAUUGAAAGCCUGCUAGCAGCAGUGAAAAGCAGGAUUGCAAAGUAGCAUGUGCAAUGACAAAUCAAUGAAAUUAACAUAAAUAGAACCUGGGGUUGAAAGUGUUCUAGGUAUGUGUGCUAAUGUAGAAACUGAAGACCUAAUUUUGGAAGCCACUUCCCUAAACUCAAAAGGCACUUGAUAUCUGAUAAUCUAUACAGCCUUUGCAAUGUAACUUGGGGUCUUUGGAUCUCUCCAGAAAUAGUUUGUAAGGGGAUUGUAAAUUGAUCAAAUGUAUAAUCUAGAUAGACUCUAAAAUCAGAGCUGAAAUGCAUUUCUGAGAAAUAGUUUACUGUGACAGCACCUCAGUGUCUGCAACAGCAUCAGAGUUCCUUGUUGAGUUUGGGAUUAUUAUAGACAACUUGUCUUUGAGAGGAGAUUACUAUAUCCUUGUUUUCAAAAUGGAAAAAGGCAUCACUGUUUUUAAUUUGCUGUCCAACUGCAUUGCCACACGCACAAGACACGUACACACACAGUACAAACACAGAGGCUGAAAACUGAAAUCUUACACUGCCAUCCUGUGGUGAAAGGUAAAAAAAUACUACGUUGUCUAACUCAUGGGAAUCGUCUUUAGGAAAUGUUAGCAUUGGACCAGUUUGGAGGCCUGGGGGCAGACUUAUCAAGAGCUCUGUAUUGAAACAAUGAUAAUGAAAAUCAAUUUCCUAUUCUCUGUAAGAUUAGAAUAAGGAAUGUUAUGAAAUGAGGAAGAUUGACUUUGUAUUACUAAGAAGAAAUCCCAGCCAGAGCCUUUCUAUGUCUUUGCUGGAAUCUAAGCCGUGCUAGCUCAAGUGUGGUUUUUACAGAGUUUUAUCCUACAGGCAGGAAAGUUUUUCCAUGAAAAAAAUAACAAAAAACAUUUACAGUUUGAUAAAAACCUUCAUUCCACACUUCAGGAAAACUAUGCUAGAACCUGGAUGUCAACAACCAUCAUGCAAAACACCACAAGUCAUUUGUGAUCUGUGUAUAGGGUGGGAGGUCCUAAGGACAUAUCUUGCCAAUAUAAAUCCAGAGCAACUCAACUGACUUUUGCAAUUACCUCACAUUUUAUACCCGUAUAACUGAGAACAGACUGUAGCCUUCUCAUGUAAUGGAUUCACUUAAUCUUGCCUCUACAGUUGCACAUAAAAUCUGCUAGGGACCUUCCAAAACACCUGCCUCACAGAGAGCACAUUUUUAAAAAAAACAGAGAGAGAAUUGCUAGGGCAUUAUUUUAAUUCUGAGAAGAGCUAAAUUAAUUCAGACAUGGAAUGGUGAUGGGACUGAGACUCAAUAGAAGGCAGUGGGAGCUGACUUUAUUAUUAUUCUGUAAGAUCAGGUCCUAAUGGCAAUUUUUAGGAUAGGAGAUUUUUUUUUUCCGCUAAUGAAAAAAUACAGUAGAGUCUACUUUGUAAAUAUGUCAUAAAUUCCUGUUCACUGGAUAAAUGGAUUGUUUUCCAAUGAAUCACUGCUGGGCUUAAAAAAAAAAAAAGGAACAAGCCAACCAAAAGGGCAUGAAGUCAGCCAAAAGGGGAAAGAGAGAAAAAGAGCUGUCAUGUAAACAGUGUGCAAAAUAUGCAAUAAAAAAGUAAAAUGUUUACCAGAAUGUCUGGUUCAUAAUUGAAUUUUGCCUAGGGACAGCUCUAAUGCGUGCUCUGAUACUUCAGGCCUGAUUUUUAACUAAAGCUUUUAGACCAUAAUUUAAUGGUUCAGAAAAAAGUGUGGAUUUAUCAUAGUGAACAGACUGCCUGAAGAUUUACUUUCUUCUCUUGCAAACUGUGACUUAUAGGCAUUUUUCCAACCAACAUAUGAAUAACAUAUGCAUUUAUUUAUGUACCUUUGACACUGUAUGCCAGGACUGACUUCCCAGUCCCUACCAUGUCUCCUUUAAAAGCACUGGUUCUAUAAAACAUGUAGAAAGCUAGACAUCCCCAGCUGUGCUCUACUGCAGGAGCUAUAGAUAGCUGGCAGAUAGCAAUGGAGAGAAUCCAGAAUAAAGCUACUAAGGAGCAGUAGCAAAACUACUUCAUAUUAUGGCCCCAAGUUAAUAGGAUGGGUCCAGAUUUUUCCCGUGUUCAGGGUAUGAUGCAAAACUCACAUCUUCAAAAAAAGUUCUCCAAAAAAAUGGAAUGCAAGCUAGCAACAUUCAAGUGUGAAACAAAAAUGUAUGGCAAAAACAAGAGAAGGGAAGGGUUUUAAUCCCAUUUUAGACACCUGACUGUGAUUCUGUGUGCAUGCUUCUAACUCCUUAACAAACAAAAGAUGGUUUGAUCACUCUUGUUUUUUCACAGUUUGAUGGCUCAGUUAGGCUGUCACCAUCUGAUUUAAGCCCUGCUUUUCUUCUCUCCGGCGUGCUGUGCAAAUCUCUUCUUUGCUCUGGCUGCGUCAGUUUCCCUCUAGGUUCUGCUUCUCUCGGCGGGCCCAUACAGCCCCUCUUCCCAGUCAGUCUUUGCCAACCAUUCCAUGGGGUAUCCCCUGCUCAGUCCCGGCUCUACGGGCUUGCUGGGACAACCCACACUACCCUGCUGUCCACAGUUACUUAUCAUUCUGGGAGGGCAGAGAUGAUCCUUGCUUGUGGCUCGCCUGGGUCUAGACAACUUACAGGGGUUCAUAUGCCUGGCCUCUCACCUCUGCUGGUCUUCCCAGCUCCCGGUCCCACUGAGCGGACCCUGUUCCAGGAGAUGCCGAAUGCCAUGCUUUUCUUUAGCGUCCUCCUUUAAACUGCCCAGUCUUCCUUCCAGCCCAAUCAGGGCAGGCUUCCUGGGGCAUGUGUUCUUAUGCCCUGAGGGGCCUGCCUGUUUCCUGAGUUUUCUCCAGACCUUUUCUCCAGCACACCAGGGAUGUGCUGCUCUCCCAGACCUGCUGGAUAAGUUUCCUGUAGGUACAGCUGGCUCUGGAGGUAUAGCAGGGGCUUGGCCUUAGCUCCUGCUACAGUGCCUUUUCAUUCCAAGAUGUUUCGUUGCUUGUCUUCAGCUUGACCCAUCAUAUCUGUGCAGAUGAAACAGCACCAUAUUUUUAUCUUUAUGGACCACUUCAAAUUUGACCUUAAAAACUUCCUGUUCAAAGAAAUAAAUGAGUAGGGUCAAAACCCACUUGCCUCUUUCCUUUUUUAAUGCUUUCUUUUGCUUUAAUUACUGUUUCGUGCUGUUUUCUCUUUGUGUUUAAAAAGGAGUAGUUUUGUUUAAUAUUUUUGCAUGUUUGUUUCCAUCUGUAGAGCGCUCUGUGGCAUUCUGGGUGGAAGAGGCUAUCGCCAACUGUAUUUUAUCUGAUUCAGACUUUUCAAGAAAUCCAGUUGUGCCAUCUUGUGGGGAUAGAAAACAGCACAAGUUGCUGGGUCUAGUUACGUUGCUGCCAUCUACCUGUCUUGAACAUGAUUUCAGAAACAAAAAUUUCUUUAUUUCAGAGUCUGGAGAGUUCAGUGGUUUAUGGACAAAUCCCGUUGUUAAGUAACUGAAUCCUUCAUACAAACUUAAUACAAGGUCUAUUUCUUUCUGUAAGGCUACCAACUGACACAGGUUUUGCUGUGGGAUCAGCUCUGCUGGGAUAUGGCCUAGAACAGCUGAUCCAAUUGAUUGGUAGGUACAGGCAUUGCCCAGGGUUGUUGUCUCACAGGAUCAGGCCCCUGCCACUCCUGGGGCUUCAGGGACCCGAUCCCAUAUGUCGUCAAGGGCAGAGUGGGGAAUCUCAUGGGGUUCCCUUGCUCUUCAGUGUGAAAGGCACACACCAAAAUCUUCUGUUCAGAGGGGCUGAAGAGCAUGGGCUGCAGAGAUCAUGCCAUAACUGAACAGACAGCCAUUGCAAUAAGGCAGCACAAGCUAUUGAUAUGAAUUGUUGUGCUCCCAUCUUAGAACAUUUGGGACACAACAAGGAACAGGGGCAUCUAUUUGGUCAUGUUUAUACUACCAUAAACAUUUUUCUGGUGUGACAAGGGCAACAUCUGUCUGCCUAAAGCAUUUCACUUAGGAGAAGUACACAAGAGACAGAAUGCAGAAAGUUCCUGUGUCCCCCUAGUGCUGCUAACAAUGGUGGAAUUAAAGAUGUUUUAUCACAGGGGUGCUCAACCUCUGGCCAGCAGGCCAGAUCCAGCCCCACAGUACCAUGUCAUCUGGCCCAUGGGGCUUUCCAUGGGCCUGGAAAUUUGGCAGUGUGGAAACAGUGGCAUUGCUCCCUUACUACCAAAUCUUCUGACCCAUGUGGAGCCAUAGGCCCUGCGUGCUGGAUUCAGAAUCUGAACCCAGGACACAGAGCUAGGGGGGUGUGAGGCAGCUCUGGGCCCACAGGGCCUAAUCCUGCUGUGGGGAGUUGGGAGGAGGUGCAGCACUGGGUCCUUGGCACGCAACCCCAGUGUGUGGGGGCAGGAGGGGUGGUGCUGGGCCCUUGGACCCAAUCCCAGCAUGUGCGAGGAGGGGAGAUAUACCAGGCCCCCAGGACCCAACCCUGGUGCAUGGGGCAAGGAUGGUGCUGGGCCCCAGAGCCUGAUACUGCCUAUGGACAGGCCUCAUUGUUAUUCAUCUGGCCUGUCAACAGCUUUCUCUCAAACUGUGGUCAACCUACAUAAUGUUGUUACUGGAGCCUGUAUCUUGAGCUGCAUGUGUUCCUUUCUCCCAAGUGAGGGGAGGAGAAGAUGCUGAGUCAAUUUUCUUCUUGCUAUAAAGAAAAAGGUGCUAAGUCAUAUACCCCUCCCACCAGCCCACCCACUAAAGGGAGAGGAAAGACAGUGAGUCAUGCAUUUGAUUUAUGCACUUCAAAGAAAUAUGAAUUUGUAAGGUCUAGCUAGAUCUUAGCAGGUUGAUAUGCACAGCCUGAGGAGGCUAAUGAGAUUGCUUUCUGAGUAAAAACUACUUCCAUGAGGGUUUGCAAGAUCAUGACUUUAAGGACUACACUGGAAAUUAGCUGUAGCUAGUCUUAGGUAGAUGUACCGGAGUCAGUCUCCAGUGUGGAUGCACUACACCUGGUCUGAUGUGACAGACUUAUGUAGCUGGACCAUUGCAAAAAUAAACCAGGGGUAGAGAAGGCCCAUUUGGGACAUUGUAAAUGCUAACAUCUUCUUUUGUUUUCAAGUUUUCAUAAAAGAAAAACAAUGAUCAAGAAGCCAAACUAGUCUGUUAGAAUUCUGCUAGAGAGUUUUGCCAGGGAUGACUCUGGCCCAAGGAAAUUAAAUACAGGAAACUAUGAGAACACAGCAUGAAGACUGCAUUUUAAACACAAAACGUGAGGCAAUGUAAAAGUCACUGACAUAGUACAUAUGUAAUGUCUGAUUAUUAGUUAUGAUGUUAUUAAGAGUUCAUUUAUUUUCCCUUUGAAAGCAGUAACAAAACUCCUGAUGACUUCAGUAUGAGUGGGAUUGGGUCUCAGAUGUACAUUUUGUUAUGUACAAUGCGCCAAAUUAAUUCCAGAGUCUGCACCUGUAAAAGCCAGCACAAACCUUAGCUGAAGAAAGCCUGCCAGUAGCACAGGAGACAUUGAAGGAGUGGAAGGCUUCUUCACCUUGAUCUUCACAGGGUGCUCACAGCCAGUUACCACUGCCUGAAUUUCAGAUGACUGCAAAUGGAUAAAGGCUGAAGUGUGACUUUUGAAGUGCCCUUGAUUGUAAUUAAAGCUGCCUUCCUUUAAUGGAAAUCCCAAGGAAAGGAAUGAGUAAUGUUACCCUAUACUGGUGAUUCUCUGCCAGAAUGCCAUGGGACACUGGGGUGUUGUGAGAGUCUUGAGCAAUAUUAACACUGUUAGAUGUUCAGAUAUCUACACACGAUUCACAAGGUAAACCCAGAGAUUUCAAACAGGAAUCCAUAGUGUCAUUUCUGUUCUGUUGUGGUCUGAGUUCUUUGCAACAGAAUAAUUGCUCUGUUGUUUUCCUAUAGUCAAAAAAACAAGUAAAGGCUAAAAGUUGGCAUUUUCUGAGGGAUGCCUGGAGUUUAAAAAGGUUGAGAACCAUUGCCACAUGCCCUCUCUCAGGGUGACUCAUGCCAGCUGAGAUCAGACUGUCCCAGUGAGUUGGGCCAACACACAAUUGUGCAUAUGAAUGGAGUAAUACUACUAUGAGGACUGUAAUUGUUGAAUGUUCUGUUGGUUUUGUUCAGAUAUUUUAAAUAGCCCAAUAAAUGGUCAGGUGCUAAACCACUGUGAAAUAAUAUAUAAACAACAACAACUACCUCCCUAGAAUUAGUACAGUGAAGACAUGACAGACUUAUACAGUGGCGCUCGCCCCAUCUAGACAGGAAGAGACAGCCACCCUAAGGAAGCAGAAUUUAAGAAAAAACCUGAGCUUAAUUAAAGAUAUAAUACUUCCAGGAUUCUAAGGUGUAUUCAUUUUAUGGGAUGAGGGGUUGAUUAAACAAGUUAAAAACUAUAAAUAGUUUCCUUCUAACAAAUCAAUUACACUUAAUUCCUUUAUUCCUCCUCAAAACUCAACUGUCACUUUCAAAAUGUGUUUCUUCAUAUGGCUGUACCUACCAGCCCAGUUUUUUCAUGCCACAGUUAUACAAAGCUGAUAUCUGGAGCAUAUGCUUUUGUUCAAGCAAUGCAGUUAAAUAUGUGGGUGUGGUUAAAUUCUGAUGUCCUUUUCUAAGGAAAAACUGGGGAAAACAUCUGCUUCUUGAUGCAAACCAUCUGCUAUUACCAGACAUAAAGUCAGGCAUUUUAACACAGUCUACUGCUUAGAAUUACACUUGCUUAACAGAACAGAAUGACAGAUUCCCAUCAAAACGAUCUCAUCUCACACCAGCUCAGGGCUUUUCCCUUGCACCUAUUUGGGAUUGAUCAGUGCAAUUAUUUUGUAAAGGUCUUUGUCAGUGAAUUCAAAAUUACCAGAAACCAUAAUAAUUAUUAUUAUUUAGGAUUCAACUGUUAAUCUCCCAGCUGAGAUGCUGCCUCAGCUCUGCACAGUUACAGGUGCAGAAAAAGUCACAAAUUUAUGUUUUGUUCAGUUGUAUGUCUGUGUGGGGGUGGAAACAAAAGGCUGCUGAGCUUAGCAUUAUUGUUAAGAAUUAGCAACAUCAUAAUACUUAGCAAGAGUGAGGGAGGUUCUUUUUAUCUUACUGGGAAUCUCUCUUUCCCAGUAGAAUAAUACUUCUAUUUCUAGCCCUUCAAGUCCACAAGGUAUCAGACUUUAAAGUCAUUACGUUUUUACAUCCACAAAACCUGUCACUUAUUAAAGACUGUAUCUUGCUCAUCCUGGGCAUGUGUAAUGGUUUGGAUGUGGGAAUCAUGGGUAGAAGUAAGAGUGUUGCAAUGAAUCAACUUUAAAACAAAUGGAAGCUGUUUGGAACGUUAGGGAGAAAUUAGUUGUGAGGGAAGAUGCAAGAGACAACCACUUGUGAAAUAUUCAUUCAUUGCAUAGUUCUGCCAUUUUGUUAAAUUCAUCUCACCUCCAUGAGGAUACCAUUAUAAUGGACUACAAAGGUCUAACUGAGAUGAUUGUUUAAUGCAGAUGGAGCAGAAUUACACUCAGUGAAUUUGGAGAUAAUCUGAAUGGUUUCUUGAAGAAGAUGAUUGCCUAAUAAAGGUUACUGCUUGUGGCUGAAACACAAAAUAUUAUGGCCUGAACAUGGAGCUGGUCUCUGGUCUCCACUUCUAUCUAGCAGCUGUUUCUCCAGUUGGGUCUUAGAGGUGGUUUUCCUCCCCUCUUUCCCUGCCCCCCCCUCCCCCGCCUACUUCUCUCCAUGGGGCAGAGGGCUUUACAGUAGCUCUCUAUUCCCUAGCAUGCCUUACUGAAAAUUUCCCAGGAAUUUCCUGAGCUGUUUCCCCUCAUUCUGGGGUUGUCUCUCUCCUUCCUUCGAGCUCUUUGGCCUACCCAUUGCUAGGGUUCCUUUUUCUGCUCCCUCGGGUGCAAGCUGAAGCUCACAACUUCUGCUGAAGUCAAUAGGAGCUCUGUUUAAAUGCAAGGAUUACACAUGCACUGAGUGGUGCUCUGAAAAAUCAGUUCUGCGUAGGAAUCUACCCAACUCACAGAGGCAGCCAGCCAACCUCACCUCACCGCAGAUUACAAGGUCAGCCUCCCUCUUUGUGGGCUUAUUGCAGUGGGCCCCUCCCACACCUCUGAUUGGCCAAGGGGCCCACAUGGCUUUGCCCCUUGCUGCUGAUUGGUUGCAAGGACUGUCCGCCAUAUGGCCCUGCCCUUCACCACUGAUUGGCCAAAAGAGCUGUCCGAUAGGUGAGGGGGGGGGGUGUCUCUCAGCCAAUCAGCAGUGAGGGCAGGGGUGGCAGCCAUCUUGGGCUCCGCUUCAUGCUGGUAGCCCCCUUCCUCCCUUCCCCACUGGGGGGCUGUGCAGCUUCUGGGCCUCAUUGGCCAUGAAGACCGCUGGCUCCCUCUGGAAAGCCAGCAUUUUAUUUUCAGUAAGUUUUUUCUCUUUUUUUUUCAUAGAUUUCAUUAACAUUGCCUGAUUUUGCAGACAAUGCUGGAUUUCAUGAUUUCCACUAAACUGUGAUUUAAGCCACUACUUGUGUGUCAUAAAUUGGGCAUCCUAUACGUUGUAAAGGUGCAGGGCACAGAAAAACAAAUGGUCCUAUCUCCUUUCAGUCUGGUAGCUAUAGUACACACCCAGAACUAGGCUAAAAAAUAAUUAUUAAGACUGCAAAAUCAAGCACCAGAAAUUUGAAAAUGCAAACCUGAAGAUUGUCUGUACAGCAUUUAUUUACCUUCUUGCAUGUAAUUCAGCAUGCAGAAUGGAUGGGUGCUCACUUAGAAGGCAGCAAUUAUUUUGUUUUAGCUUUGUUCAAUAUGUGGCCCUAGUGCAGCAUUUAUUGUACAUUAUUCAAACCCUGCAUUGAAGGGUGCAGUCUCCAGGGGCAGUGGCAUAACAAGCCGAGUUGGUACCUGGGGAAAACCCUGUGGGAGAGUGGGGAAGCCAGGGGGGCAUGCAGUUCUGAGAGCAGGAGGCCAUGAUGGACCCAAGGGGUGCAGUGGUGUAGUCACAAGCCACUUUGACUCCCUCCAAAGUUUAAAACCAACUGCCUGCAAUGACAGCAGAAGCAUUUCUAUUUGGGCAGCAGUGAGGGAAUCAACUGACUUCAUAGUUUAUUAUAAUCUACCAGAUUCCUUCUAAACUCUUCUUUCCACAGGUGUUAAUGACUUGUCUCUCAUUUUUAAAGAUCUUGAUGUUCAGUUAAUAAAGCUAUCCUUUCUUCUGCAAUUCUGUAAGCUCUUUUUAAUGCUAGUUAAAUGCAUUAAAUCAGAUGUGGAAAUAACUUUGGGUGAAGCAUCAGAUGCACUGUCAAGAUACUCAAGAAGACUAGGUUUUGUUUUAUGAAUCUGAAAAAGAGAUGUCCAUUUAAUCCUAAUGAUGGCAGGACUAAUCAAACAACUUUUAAUUAUUUUUUGCCCAAUGUGUUGUAGUUCUUUAUAUACAUAAUAUGUAAUAUAGCAAAUGAAUGCACAGUCUAAUAAGUUUGUAUUUUGUCUUUGCUCCAACUUAAACUGAAUAAUACAGCCCUAGUCCCUUA